AGAGUUUGAUCAUGGCUCAGAUUGAACGCUGGCGGCAGGCCUAACACAUGCAAGUCGAACGGUAACAGGAAUUAGCUUGCUAAUUUGCUGACGAGUGGCGGACGGGUGAGUAAUGCUUGGGAACUUGCCUUUGCGAGGGGGACAACAGUUGGAAACGACUGCUAAUACCGCAUAACGUCUUCGGACCAAACGGGGCUUAGGCUCUGGCCCAAAGAGAGGCCCAAGUGAGAUUAGCUAGUUGGUGAGGUAAAGGCUCACCAAGGCGACGAUCUCUAGCUGUUCUGAGAGGAAGAUCAGCCACACUGGGACUGAGACACGGCCCAGACUCCUACGGGAGGCAGCAGUGGGGAAUAUUGCACAAUGGGGGAAACCCUGAUGCAGCCAUGCCGCGUGUGUGAAGAAGGCCUUCGGGUUGUAAAGCACCUUCAGUUGUGAGGAAGGGUUGUUGGUUAAUACCCAACAGCAUUGACGUUAGCAACAGAAGAAGCACCGGCUAACUCCGUGCCAGCAGCCGCGGUAAUAC
rnacentral:rRNA from 1 species